rnacentral:rRNA from 1 species
UACGGAGGGUGCGAGCGUUGUCCGGAAUCAUUGGGCGUAAAGGGCGCGUAGGUGGCGGGUCAAGCGUGCGGUGAAAGCCCGGGGCUCAACCCCGGAAUUGCCUUUGAGACUGCAUAGCUUGAACACGGGAGAGGUGAGUGGAAUUCCGAGUGUAGAGGUGAAAUUCGUAGAUAUUCGGAAGAACACCAGUGGCGAAGGCGGCUCACUGGACCGUUGUUGACGCUGAGGUGCGAAAGCGUGGGGAGCAAACAGG